GAUGAACGCUGGCGGCGUGCCUAAUACAUGCAAGUCGAGCGAACAGACGAGGAGCUUGCUCCUCUGACGUUAGCGGCGGACGGGUGAGUAACACGUGGAUAACCUACCUAUAAGACUGGGAUAACUUCGGGAAACCGGAGCUAAUACCGGAUAAUAUAUUGAACCGCAUGGUUCAAUAGUGAAAGACGGUUUUGCUGUCACUUAUAGAUGGAUCCGCGCCGCAUUAGCUAGUUGGUAAGGUAACGGCUUACCAAGGCAACGAUGCGUAGCCGACCUGAGAGGUUGAUCGUCCACACUGGAACUGAGACACGGUCCAGACUCCUACGGGAGGCAGCAGUAGGGAAUCUUCCGCAAUGGGCGAAAGCCUGACGGAGCAACGCCGCGUGAGUGAUGAAGGUCUUCGGAUCGUAAAACUCUGUUAUUAGGGAAGAACAAAUGUGUAAGUAACUAUGCACGUCUUGACGGUACCUAAUCAGAAAGCCACGGCUAACUACGUG
rnacentral:rRNA from 1 species